GGUUUUGUAGUGUAGCUGGUUAUCACUGCGGAUUCUGAUUGUUUGAGAUUUCCGCCAACCCCGGUUCGAAUCCGGGCAAGACCU